GAUGAACGCUGGCGGCGUGCCUAAUACAUGCAAGUCGAGCGAACGGACGAGAAGCUUGCUUCUCUGAUGUUAGCGGCGGACGGGUGAGUAACACGUGGAUAACCUACCUAUAAGACUGGGAUAACUUCGGGAAACCGGAGCUAAUACCGGAUAAUAUUUUGAACCGCAUGGUUCAAAAGUGAAAGACGGUCUUGCUGUCACUCAUAGAUGGAUCCGCGCUGCAUUAGCUAGUUGGUAAGGUAACGGCUUACCAAGGCAACGAUGCAUAGCCGACCUGAGAGGGUGAUCGGCCACACUGGAACUGAGACACGGUCCAGACUCCAACGGGAGGCAGCAGUAGGGAAUCUUCCGCAAUGGGCGAAAGCCUGACGGAGCAACGCCGCGUGAGUGAUGAAGGUCUUCGGAUCGUAAAACUCUGUUAUUAGGGAAGAACAUAUGUGUAAGUAACUGUGCACAUCUUGACGGUACCGAAUCAGAAAGCCACGGCUAACUACGU
rnacentral:rRNA from 1 species